rnacentral:sRNA from 1 species
UCAGAAGAAGAAGUUGUAGAAGGAGAGAAGGAAGUCGAGGCUUUGAAGAAAAGUGCGGACUGGGUAUCAGACUGGUCCAGUAGACCCGAAAACAUUCCACCCAAGGAGUUCCACUUCAGACACCCUAAACGUUCUGUGUCUUUAAGCAUGAGGAAAAGUGGAGCCAUGAAGAAAGGGGGUAUUUUCUCUGCAGAAUUUCUGAAGGUGUUCAUUCCAUCUCUCUUCCUUUCUCAUGUUUUGGCUUUGGGGCUAGGCAUCUAUAUUGGAAAGCGACUGAGCACACCCUCUGCCAGCACCUACUGAGGGAAAGGAAAAGCCCCUGGAAAUGCGUGUGACCUGUGAAGUGGUGUAUUGUCACAGUAGCUUAUUUGAACUUGAGACCAUUGUAAGCAUGACCCAACCUACCACCC